UGGGGAAUAUUGGACAAUGGGGGCAACCCUGAUCCAGCCACGCCGCGUGAGUGAUGAAGGCCUUCGGGUCGUAAAGCUCUGUGGGGAGGGACGAACGUCCCCGUGAAGAACGGGGGGUGACGGUACCUCCUUAGCAAGCACCGGCUAACUUCGUGCCAGCAGCCGCGGUAAUACGAAGGGUGCAAACGUUGCUCGGAAUCAUUGGGCGUAAAGCGCACGUAGGCGGCCUCAUAAGUCGGAUGUGAAAUCCCUCGGCUCAACCGAGGAAGUGCAUCCGAAACUGCGAGGCUCGAGUAUGGAAGAGGGUCGCAGAAUUCCCGGUGUAGAGGUGAAAUUCGUAGAUAUCGGGAGGAAUACCAGUGGCGAAGGCGGCGACCUGGGCCAAUACUGACGCUGAGGUGCGAAAGCGUGGGGAGCAAACAGGAUUAGAUACCCCCGUAGUCC
rnacentral:rRNA from 1 species